rnacentral:rRNA from 1 species
ACGGGAGGCAGCAGUGGGGAAUAUUGCACAAUGGGCGCAAGCCUGAUGCAGCAACGCCGCGUGAGGGAAGACGGUCUUCGGAUUGUAAACCUUUGUCUUUGGUGAAGAAGAAAGUGACGGUAGCCAAGGAGGAAGCCCCGGCUAACUACGUGCCAGCAGCCGCGGUAAUACGUAGGGGGCAAGCGUUAUCCGGAUUUACUGGGUGUAAAGGGAGCGUAGACGGUAAGGCAAGUCUGAAGUGAAAUGCAGGGGCUCAACCCCUGAACUGCUUUGGAAACUGUCAAACUAGAGUGCAGGAGAGGUAAGUGGAAUUCCUAGUGUAGCGGUGAAAUGCGUAGAUAUUAGGAGGAACACCAGUGGCGAAGGCGGCUUACUGGACUGUAACUGACGUUGAGGCUCGAAAGCGUGGGGAGCAAACAGGAUUAGAUACCCUGGUA